UAUCUGAUAUCGUCAUAUUGAAUGAUACGCAGUAAAAAUUUUAAAAACGUGUGGCAAGUUGUACAAAACGGGGAAACUGGUUAAUUGGGGUUCGAUAAACAGACUGCAGCACCCUUUUGCACUUUGACAAAUACCAGCCAUUAUGACUGGUAUUGGUAUAAGUAACUUUGAUAUAAAAUUAUUUUCAGUUUGAAUAUAUAAAAACAAAAUAAAAUUCAUUAUAUUAUUCUUCUAGUUAUCGUUGCGAAAGUCAUUACAUCAUUGUAGAAAAAAAAUAUAACAUGAAGUAGGAAUUUUAAAAUAAAAUUGUAAAACCAGUCAAUUUGACUGGCGUGGUAGUUCUAAUUUUAAACGCAAUCAAACUCGCCACAUUCUCUUCCUCCGUGUUUCUGCCAACAGUUGCAGGCGUUGAUAUUUUCAUACUAUCCAAUCACGUUCCUCCACUUCUCUACCCUCUUUCAACCUUCGAUGAUCGUAUAAAAAAAGAAAGGAGAAGAUCAGAUGAAAAAAGUGAAUCUGCGACGGUGAUGGAACAAUGCCUGGCACAGAUAGUAAUAUACGGUGGUGCAGAAAAACAAAGGACA
rnacentral:misc_RNA from 1 species